CUUGUCCUGACUGUGACUCCCCAGAAGACGUUUCUGAUUUAGGGAUUUUGGUUUCAGUAGAACCUGUUUUCUCACCAGAGGGAACAUCCUUGUUCGAAUUGGACGCCAUGAGAAGCAGCAGCGGAAGGCGAAUUAGUAGACAAAUGAGAGACUUUGGUUUGAGGAUUAGAUUCGUAACCCUAUCUCUCAGAAUGUGUGGGGUGGUGUCUAU
rnacentral:misc_RNA from 1 species